GAAAGUCGUGUGCAAUGAAAAAUGCAAGCACGAUUUGGGGAGUUUUUUUAUUGUAACAAGGAUUAAUUAUCUACUCUAU
rnacentral:ncRNA from 1 species